GACGAACGCUGGCGGCGUGCUUAACACAUGCAAGUCGCACGAAGUGGCGAACGGGUGAGUAACGCGUAAUCAACCUGCCCUUAAGAGGGGGACAACCGUUGGAAACGACUGCUAAUACCGCAUACUGAAGGAGGGGAUUGCGUCUGAUUAGCUAGUUGGAGGGGUCACGUCCCACAAAGGCGAUGAUCAGUAGCCGGUCUGAUAGGAUGACCGGCAACAGUGGGACGUGGACACGGCCCAGAAUCCUACGGGAGGCAGCAGUGGGGAAUCUUCCGCAAUGGACGAAAGUCUGACGGAGCAACGCCGCGUGAGUGAUGACGGCCUUCGGGUUGUAAAGCUCUGUUAAGCGGGACGCGGUACCGGAAUAGAAAGCCACGGCUAACUACGUGCCAGCAGCCGCGGUAAUUC
rnacentral:rRNA from 1 species